rnacentral:rRNA from 1 species
GACGAACGCUGGCGGCGUGCUUAACACAUGCAAGUCGAACGGAAAGGCCCUGCUUUUGUGGGGUGCUCGAGUGGCGAACGGGUGAGUAACACGUGAGUAACCUGCCCUUGACUUUGGGAUAACUUCAGGAAACUGGGGCUAAUACCGGAUAGGAGCUCCUGCUGCAUGGUGGGGGUUGGAAAGUUUCGGCGGUUGGGGAUGGACUCGCGGCUUAUCAGCUUGUUGGUGGGGUAGUGGCUUACCAAGGCUUUGACGGGUAGCCGGCCUGAGAGGGUGACCGGCCACAUUGGGACUGGAAUGCGGCCCAGACUCCUACGGGAGGCAGCAGUGGGGAAUAUUGCACAAUGGGCUGAAGCCUGGUGCAGCAACGCCGCGUGCGGGAUGACGGCCUUCGGGUUGUAAACCGCUUUCGCCUGUGACGAAGCGUGAGUGACGGUAAUGGGUAAAGAAGCACCGGCUAACUACGUG